rnacentral:tRNA from 1 species
ACUAGUUUGGCAGAAUUUUAAGUGCAUUAAAUUUAGGAUUUAUUUAUAUUGUAUAUUUACAAUAAUUAGUA